rnacentral:rRNA from 1 species
AUUGAACGCUGGCGGCAUGCUUUACACAUGCAAGUCGAGCGGCAGCGCGGGGGCAACCCUGGCGGCGAGCGGCGAACGGGUGAGGAAUACAUCGGAACGUACCCCGGAGUGGGGGAUAACGCCGCGAAAGCGGCGCUAAUACCGCAUAUGCUCUGAGGAGGAAAGUGGGGGACCGCAAGGCCUCACGCUCUGGGAGCGGCCGAUGUCCGAUUAGCUAGUUGGUGGGGUAAUGGCUUACCAAGGCGACGAUCGGUAGCUGGUCUGAGAGGAUGAUCAGCCACACUGGGACUGAGACACGGCCCAGACUCCUACGGGAGGCAGCAGUGGGGAAUUUUGGACAAUGGGGGCAACCCUGAUCCAGCCAUGCCGCGUGAGUGAAGAAGGCCUCGGUUGUAAGCUCUUUCAGACGGAAGAAACGACAUCGGUGAAUACCCGGUGUGGAGUGACGGUACCGUAACGAAGAAGCACCGGCGUAACUACCGUGCCAGCAGCCGCGGU